UCCCUGGUGGUCUAAUGGUUAGGAUUUGGCACUUUCACUGCUACACUCCAGGCUCAAUCCCUGGUCUGGGAA
rnacentral:tRNA from 1 species